ACACACAAUCAUGAGAAAGCAACUUUUAAGACUCUUGACACUCAAUCAAACCUACGCAAACCAGCCCGUAUUAUUGAAAGUGUGGAAGAGAGAGAAGCGUUCCCGCCCAUCUUUUUCUCUCUCCGACAACAAGGAAGCAAGCUCGAAUGCCAAGGCAGAGAUCCGCCGCUGGAAUCUCCUUCCGAACUCGAGAGAAAGUAAGUAUAUCUUAGCCAUUAACGCCGUGUGAAGCGAGAUUCCAGUGGAAUGGCUUGUUGUUAGAAAGAGAAAGAGAAGUAAUUCGACCAAACGGGUAUGUUGAGGUUAAGAGAUUAGAUGAUGGGAGUGAAUAAGAGGGAUUGGAGAAUUGAGCAUAUAGUUUUUGAGAUAGAAGAAUGUGGGAAUGAGGAGUGGGUGCGAUUGGAGAAUCGAGCAUAGGUUUUUUGAGAGAGAAGAAUGUGGGAAUGAGG
rnacentral:lncRNA from 1 species